AAAAAAAAAAAUGAAUAUUUUAUUCACUUUCACAGUAGAAUAGUAUAUUCCAGAUAACUACUAUAUUAUUUACAACCAAUAAAAAUUUGGUUUGAAUAAUAAUUCCACAGCCUCUGUCAAAUAAAACAGAAUAAAGAAAUGAUUAAAAAUAAAUGAUUGAUUUUGGCACAUACUGGAUAUUUAUCGUAUUAUAUACAUACAUGUAAUUAUAAGAAAAGGACAAAUGUGUUUAGAACCCUUAAACAAAAUGUGCCCUUUUGUCACAUAUUUACUCUUUAGUUAAGUAAGGUAAUAUAGUUUUUGCAAAUAAGUUUAUACAGUUAUAAGGGUACUACUAAAAAAAAACAGUAAGCGAUUGUAAGUUUAAUUUUAAAUAGACAUAUUUGAUAUAAGAACAGGGAUGCAAAAACAAUGUUGUUAUCAGAGAUAUUUUUCUCUCUUUUUUUUGUAUCAAUAGGAUGUGCUUGUACAUAUACUUUUUGUUUCAGUAACCAUCAAACUUAAAAUUCAACAGAAGGUUAAAUUGAAUAUUCAACAGAAGGUUAAAUUGAAUAUUCAACAGAAGGUUAAAUUGAAUAUUCAACAGAAGAUAAAUUGAAUAUUCAACAGAAGAUAAAAUUGAAUAUUCAACAGAAGAUAAAAUUGAAUAUUCAACAGAAGGUUAAAUUGAAUAUUCAACAGAAGAUAAAUUGAAUAUUCAACAGAAGAUAAAAUUGAAUAUUCAACAGAAGAUUAAAUUGAAUAUUCAAC
rnacentral:lncRNA from 1 species